GGCCGUGCCACCGCCCGGCGCUGGGCUCUGCGCUAACGAGCGUGGCCCCGCUGCGCCCCAGGCCCGCCCGCAGCCCCGCGGCCCUGCCCUGCGGGCAGGAGCAUGGAGCGGCGCGGAGGUCCGCAGCAGGAUGCUGGAGAUGGCGUUUCUGAACUGAGGGAGUGGAGACCAGUGGUUUACAGAAAGCGUACGGACACUCUGUGGUUGCUCCUCUUCUUUCUUUACUGGGCUGGUUUGAUGUUUAUAACUGGCUAUGUUGUGAUGGCUGGUGCUGCAGAAAGACUUGUGCUUGGAUAUGACAGUUUUGGGAACAUAUGUGGUAGGAAGAACAAUCCUGUAAAAGGGGCACCCCUUUCUGGAUGGGACAUGACUAAUAAAAAGUAUGUGUUCUUUCUGAAUUCAUGCAGCCUGGAAAUGCAAAACCUCAAAAUCAGUUCACUUUCCUUGUGCGUGUCCAGUUGUCCACAAGAGCAACUCAACUCUUUGGAAGACCUCCAGAGUUUUGCAAGGAAUAAUGGUGUGCAACAGGGUUUAUGAAUAUCUUGGUGUAUCUGUAGAACAGUUGAGCAGCUUUCACUUUGUUAUUCUUGUGUUUGCUACGCUAGGGAGUAAUUUCUUGCUGUUAAUUUCCUGAGCUGACCAUGGCAACAGAAAACAAAAUGUCUUGUUUCUGCUUUAUUUCAAAGCCAUCGUUUCUAGAAAUGGUACAGCUCUCUCAUGCAAAUACAGUUGUUGAUUAAUUCCUGCACAAUGCUGAGAUUAUGCAGCAGAUAACUGGCUGCUAAGGAUGAACUGGUCUGGUCUGAUGGGGGCACUGGGAGGUGAACAGAGCUAUUUGAGAAACUUUGCCAAUUGGUUCUUUUAAAUGAAGCUCAAACUGUGGUGGAAAUAUUAAUUCCUGAGAUACAUAAGUGUUUUUAUCCCUUAAGACAUCAGAUCCCAAAGUCUGCAAGAUGGAUAGGAUGUCAGGAAUAGCUAUUGUGCAGAAGAGGAAGCUCAAGGUCAUUCAUGUCCAAGGUGUAAAUGAAAUAACAUUAAUUUAGCUACAAUGUAUAACUGUAGCUGUUGGGUUCAAAUUGGGUGCCUGACCCUUAUUCCAUAGGGUAUGCAUAACCUACAGACCAUAUGAAUGUGAGUGGCUAUUUUUAUUGACAGUCAGAAUUCCACUCUUCUUUUGCUUUGUUAUUGUGUUUGGCAAGGAUUGCUAUUUAAACUGACAACAUUUGUUUUCAUUUCAUUUUGGGGUAGUUUGCCAUCAUUUGAUAUGUACAGAAAGCUUAGACAACUGUGAUAUUCUAUAACUAUUUUCAGUGUAACUGAGUAUAAUUGCAUGAAAUUGCAUCUCCACACUUAAACUGCUUGCACGGUUAUCUGGAGGGCAUCCUCUCCUCAACAAGAUACUGAUUCAAGAAUCAUCGAAUCUCAGCCUGGUUUGGGAUGGGAGGAACCUUAAAGCUCCUCCAGUUCCAAGCCCCUGCCAUGAGCAGGGACAUCUUCUGCUAGGGCAGGUUGCUCCAAGCCCCUGUGUCCAACCUGGCCUUGAACACUGCAUGGGGCAGUGGAUGGGGCAGCCACAGCUUCUCCGGGCACCCUGUGCCAGCGCCUCACAAGGAAGAACUUCUAGCUAAUGUCUAACCUGAAUCUCUUAAGGACCUCUUCAGGUACUUUCCAACUCUAACUAUUCUAUGAUUCUACGAAUCUAUAAAGUCAUUCACCUAUGUCGGCAGCGUUUCUGAGCCGAUUAAGUUGGCAUAAGCAUUUAUCUCCUUCACAUGCGAAAAUGGCUGGGAAUUAUGCAACACGGUUCUUGGAAAACUACUGAAUAUGUAUGAUGUUUACCUGAAAUGUAAUGGAUAUGUGUGUAGAUAGAGCAACAAUAUAAUCAUGGUCUAUUUGAUGCUCGGAUUGGGCACAUUAGGAGGAGAUCUCCCCUGUGUCUCC